GCUGGGCUUGAUGACUCACGCCUAUAAUUCCAGCAUCUGGGAGGCUGAGGCAGGAGGAUCACCUGAGGUCAGGAGUUUGAGACCAACCUGGCCAACAUGGUGAAACCCUGUCUCUA
rfam:Homo sapiens chromosome 10, GRCh38 reference primary assembly.